ACUGGCUCGCCACUCUCUGGUCUUCUCAGACGCCUGUGUUGGUGAGGUCCACUGCUAUCGCUCGAGUGACCAAAAAUCUCCAUUGAUGGUUACUCUGCUCCUACCCAUUUUCGUUCCCUGAGAAGAAGCAUUAAACAUCUUCAACAACCAACCUCAAAUUCCCUUCUGUAUUUCUCUACAAAUGUCAUUGCCUUCUCAGAUUCUCUUCAGAUGUUCGAGCCAUUUGAAGCUUUGUUUCUUCCCCAACUCCUUUCCUACAAACAACAGUUUCUUCUCUCUCCCAAUUUCUCCUCGAUCCCUCAAUCAACUUCAUCAAUUCCAUCUUCAUGCACAUAACAAUUCAACCUCCCGCUUUCGGAGUUAUUGUCAAUACGGCAUUGGAGCUUUCGAAUCCGAAGACGUUGCGCAGAGUAACGACAAGGAUGGUGGCGAUUUCGAUUUAGAAUCGGUUCUUUUGUUUUCUGAAUUGUUUUCUCUCUUUUCUUCGGCUGUUUUCUUGGUUGUUUUUGUUGUGAAUUUCGUGGGUUCGAGUUCGAAGAGGGCGCUUAGGGUAUUGAUGGGGGAUAGGGGUUUGAUUUGGGGGUUUUCUCUGCUAGUGGCUACCGCUGUUCUUAACUCGUGGAUUCGAAGACGGCAAUGGAGACGAAUUUGUGGGGGAAAACGGAGCGGUGGGUUGAAGGUGGAUUGCUUGGAUAGGAUCGAGAAAUUAGAGGAGGAUUUUAGGAGCUUGACGACUGUGAUUCGGGGCUUGUCUAGGAAGCUUGAGAAGUUGAGCAUAAGGUUUAGGGUAACACAAAAAACUCUGAUGGAUCCAAUUGUUGAGACCGCAGGUUUAGCUCAAAGAAAUUAUGAGGACACUCGAACUUCGGCUGUGCAAGAAGAUGUUCUUGAGAAAGAACUCCUUGAAAUACAAAAGGUCUUACUAGCCAUGCAGGAGCAGCAGCAAAAGCAACUUGAGCUGAUUAUUGCAAUAGGAGAAAAAGGGAAGCUGAUGGAAAGCAAACGGGCACUUGAUUAAGAAUGAACAAGAAUGGAAAGACGCAAUUCUGCCAAUGAGGAUUCAAAAAAAACGGGAAGCUUAUGAAAUCUGAGUAGAAGAGCACUGAAAUGGAAUAUCUACACAAUAAGAAGGAUUGUUUCUAUACUUGUGUUCUUGUGGCUGCUGUUUUCAAGUUUUCAAGUUUUGGUUGAGCCUUUUGAGCAAUGGUAUGGACCGUGGAAUUUGGAAGAUUCAUAGAGCAUGAUGAAGAACUUGAAUUGUCUAAGAGUCAGUAGUUAAGAGUUGAGUGAAUUUAGAGUCGAGACUUGGAUGAUCAUGACAUGAAAGUGUAGACAACCACCUACAUUGGAAGUGAAAGAAGCAAAAUGAAGGAACCGAUGACAUAUUAGAAAAGAACGAACAAUCAGUGGAGCCAACUUGAGCAUAGCUUUACUCAUUAAGACAUAUGUUCUCAAUCAAGAAGUUAGAGGUUCGAGUUCUCUCACUCCUUAUUGAACUCAAAAAAACAUUCCAUGGUGAGGGACAUGUUGGAAAGGUUCUAGAUAUGUUCGGGUUGAAUGAAAUUUUCAUCUUUGAGUGAACAUGUUAAGAAUGAUAAAUGCAACCUUCGGACUUGGUCUGUCAUUUAACUCAUUGAGUUUAAGAUGUGAUAAUUAUGGUACAUAAACCCGUGUAAUCAUCUCUACUUGGACAGUUGCAUCCCAUUGAUAUCAAUUAUAUAGGUUAGAUUCAGCAUACAGAUACACUCGAAGAACCGCGUCCCAUCUCGAAGGGCCUCAUUCUGUCAACAUCAAUUGCGAUCAGGUGAUUCUUGAAAGCAGAAACUCAGCAGAUCAAAUCUCCUGAUGAAUGGGAAAAACAAACAAAACCCAGAUUUUCUAGACAUCAAAAUUCAUUAGUAAAUGAAAAGAAAGAAAGAAAGAAUCAAAGUUGAAGAACAGGAAGAUUCAAGGAAGAAGAAGAACAGGUCAAAUGGCAGAAAACCUGAAUCAUUCAAAGCAAACUUCUGCAAGAAAGGGAAACAUACCGAACCCGAGUUGGUGAAAGGUGAAAGAACAGCCAAUUCCAUUCAAAGGAAAACGAUAGAGAAUUGGGAGAUUGCAGUAAAUUUGGGAGAAGAAGAUGAAUUGAGAAGAAGAAUUUUGGAGAGAGAGAGAGAGAAAGAAGAGAGGUUUGGAAAUGAAGGAAAACCCGAUGUUGGCGGUGUUCCAGUAAACCAACCAGCGGGCUGAAAUCUUUGUCGUUGCUAAAAUAUUAAAAUGCUAGAGAAGCCAAUUAGGCCUUUUAAGUAAUGUUAUAAUAAUUAACAUAUUAUUAUUUAAUGACGUGUCAAAUAUCGAACAAAAACAAUAAAAGGGUACUAAAAGGCUUAGUUUU